AAUCGAGGCACGCGGAGACGAUGAUGUAUCCCGAAGAUCACACCCUUGCGGAUGCUAAUCUCCGUUGGAGCUGCGUGGGGGCACAAUGCUACCCAAGAUGCCACUAAGGUCAUCGUAAUAUCCUCACGCCCUCGCACAAUGCAAGAUGUCGUGAUUCCACUAAGGGACCCUUGAAGGCGGUCACCGAACCCGUACAAAUGGCAACCCUUGGGGGCGGUCACCGGUAACACAACCUAAUUGGAGACCCCGACGCUUGCCCGGAGCUUUACACCACAAUGAUUG
rnacentral:lncRNA from 1 species